rnacentral:rRNA from 1 species
GAUCAUGGCUCAGGAUGAACGCUAGCUACAGGCUUAACACAUGCAAGUCGAGGGGCAGCAUUAUCGAAGCUUGCUUUGAUAGAUGGCGACCGGCGCACGGGUGAGUAACGCGUAUCCAACCUUCCCCUUAGUAGGGCAUAGCCCGUAGAAAUGCGGAUUAAUACCCUAUGUUGUAUUAUGAGGACAUCUGAAAGAUACCAAAGGUUUACCGCUAAGGGAUGGGGAUGCGUCUGAUUAGGUUGUUGGCGGGGUAACGGCCCACCAAGCCUGCGAUCAGUAGGGGUUCUGAGAGGAAGGUCCCCCACAUUGGAACUGAGACACGGUCCAAACUCCUACGGGAGGCAGCAGUGAGGAAUAUUGGUCAAUGGGCGAGAGCCUGAACCAGCCAAGUAGCGUGCAGGAUGACGGCCCUAUGGGUUGUAAACUGCUUUUAUACAGGGAUAAAGUCGGGGACGUGUCCCCGUUUGUAGGUACUGUAUGAAUAAGGACCGGCUAAUUCCGUGCCAGCAGCUGC